rnacentral:rRNA from 1 species
UGAACGCUGGCGGCGUGCCUAACACAUGCAAGUCGAACGAAACUGAUUUCAUGAAACUUCGGUAGAUUGGAUGAAAGUUGAGUGGCGGACGGGUGAGUAACACGUGGGCAACCUGCCUCACAGAGGGGGAUAGCAGUUGGAAACGACUGAUAAUACCGCAUAAGCACACAGUACCGCAUGGUACAGGGUGAAAAGAUUUAUCACUGUGGGAUGGACCCGCGUCUGAUUAGCCAGUUGGCAGGGUAACGGCCUACCAAAGCGACGAUCAGUAGCCGGUCUGAGAGGAUGAACGGCCACAUUGGGACUGAGACACGGCCCAGACUCCUACGGGAGGCAGCAGUGGGGAAUCUUCCGCAAUGGACGAAAGUCUGACGGAGCAACGCCGCGUGAACGAUGACGGCCUUCGGGUUGUAAAGUUCUGUUAUACGGGACGAAUGGUACGACGGUCAAUACCCGUCGUAAGUGACGGUACCGUAAGAGAAAGCCACGGCUAACUACGUG